AUUGAACGCUGGCGGCAUGCCUUACACAUGCAAGUCGAACGGUAACAGGUUAAGCUGACGAGUGGCGAACGGGUGAGUAAUGUAUCGGAACGUGCCCAGUCGUGGGGGAUAACUUCUCGAAAGAGCAGCUAAUACCGCAUACGACCUGAGGGUGAAAGCGGGGGAUCGCAAGACCUCGCGCGAUUGGAGCGGCCGAUAUCAGAUUAGGUAGUGGGUGAGGUAAAGGCUCACGAAGCCGACGAUCUGUAGCUGGUCUGAGAGGACGACCAGCCACACUGGGACUGAGCACCGGCCCAGACUCCUACGGGAGGCAGCAGUGGGGAAUUUUGGACAAUGGGCGCAACCCUGAUCCAGCCAUGCCGCGUGCGGGAAGAAGGCCUUCGGGUUGUAAACCGCUUUUGUCAGGGAAGAAAAGGUUCUGGCUAAUACCUGGGACUCAUGACGGUACCUGAAGAAUAAGCCCCGGCUAACUACGUG
rnacentral:rRNA from 1 species